UGUCUUAAUGAAGAAAAAUAAGCUUUAAACUGACUUUAAAUAUGUCAUAAGACUUCAUGGUAUUAGAAAACAUGCUAAAACAGGCUGAAAAAACUAUUAUGAAUCUCUCGUUUUCCAAUACAUUCUUAGACCAAAUCCUUUGAGAUUCAGAGCUAUUGUCCUCACUUUAAUGUGACCUUCUUUAAUGCAACCUUAUAAUACGUUGAAUAUACAUCUCUAUGAGCCUGUGAUAAUAUUAAACAAUCAUAAAGUCAAUUGUUUUAUAACUAUUACAUUAUGAAUUCUUUGUGUUUGUGGUACACUGAAAAUCUGUUCAUUGAUCUUUUGCUUAAUUCUACAGAUACUUUUCUUACUACAGCCUGCAUACAGAAUGUUCUUUAAAUGAGCACAGAAUGUGCUUCAGAAUGAAAGAUUCUCAGUGAAAGCUAGUAGUUAAAAUUAAUAUCCACUUGAUGUGAAAAUGGAACAAACAUCAGAAGGACCAAGCAUUUUGCUUGGCUAAAGAAACUGCAGUUCUCAAGAGGAGGAAUUUAUCUACGUUGGGAAUUUGUUAAUAGAUAAUUGAUGUAUACAAUGGAUAUGCAUAUACCAUUUGGAUUUUUUUUCUACUGUAGCUUCACGCAAUUUUUGGCAUUGUAAUCUUUCAAGAUGUCAAUGCUUCUUUAUACAUUUCAUGCGCUUAUAUGUAAAGUAUGUUUAAAUAAGCCACUGUUUUCAGUAGAUCCUGCUUUUUCAGUGAAACUCUCGUUUUGAAUAUUGUGGUUGUCAGAAUUCUGAAGCAGCAAUGCAAUAAAAGAAGUUGUAUAAGAUCUUUUAUAUACAGAAACCUAGAUGUACACUUUGCAUAUAUGUACAAGUGCUUUUCUCUGGUUACAGUGUUCGCAGUCUAGUGCUAGUAAUCUUUACUAUGAAAGGACUUUCUAUUUUUAAUCCUUUAGAUAAUUUUUCUUUAUAAAGAAAUAUAAUUAAAAGUGACUUUAUUGCGAACAGUUUUGAAGUGCCGAAAUUACACAUGCUGCCUAUUUUUCAAAGCCUGUUACUGCUAAUGAGUUUUUUAUCAUUAUUCUGCAAAGAAUGGUGAUGUUAUGAAUUGGUAUGUUAUAUUGUCAACAAGCAUUGUUUUUGAAGAAAAGGUUUGAAGAUUGUUAUAAAUGGCUCAGGAUUAAAUUUAGGAUUAAAUAAAAAAAUAGGAUUUAUUAAAAGAAUA